GAUGAAGAACGCAGCGAAAUGCGAUAAGUAGUGUGAAUUGCAGAAUUCAGUGAAUCAUCGAAUCUUUGAACGCGCAUUGCGCCCCUUGGUAUUCCAUGGGGCAUGCCUGUUCGAGCGUCAUCUACACCCUCAAGCUCUGCUUGGUGUUGGGCGUCUGUCCCGCCUUUGCGCGUGGACUCGCCCCAAAUUCAUUGGCAGCGGUCCUUGCCUCCUCUCGCGCAGCACAUUUGCGCUUCUCGAGGUGCGCGGGCCGCGUCCACGAAGCAACUAUUACCGUCUUUGACCUCGGAUCAGGUAGGGAUACCCGCUGAACUUAAGCAUAUCAAUAAGCGGAGGA
rnacentral:misc_RNA from 1 species